AUAUAUAUAUAUAUAUAUAUAUAAACAGUAUCAUCAAUGUCAGUUAGUUUUCCUUAAUAGUAUGUGCCGACAUGUAAUCUGAAUUAUUAAAACAACAUUUACACCAACUGACUCUCAUUCAACAGUGCAUUUCCACCGACAGAAUGUAUCAUUACUCUUCUUGGGCGAUCACUCAAAGAGCCCCUUGAAGUGCAGCAAAAUGACCAAUUGUGUGUGGUUGCUAAUGAAAAAUAACUAUUUGGCCAAUCAGCAUUACCAAAUUUCGGCCCUCAAAGUGCUGCUGUUUUUGGCGGAAACAAAAACCCCACCGACGUUUGGGUUAUUUAUUUAUUUUUUGUCUCCGUGUGUUUUGGUGGAGUAAGUUGAAGAACUUUGAGAACAGUUUUUGGGAGAUGAGGGGGGGAACCUGGGAUAAAGCGACCACAAACUGCCGCACACUGACUGCACUCAUGUAGGCGACUCCGGCUCGCAGUUUGGUAGGUGGAAAAGAAGCAUGACAGCAACUAAAACUAGCUCCCAGCCUCGCUUCUUACAAAUGGAACAAAGUCUAUUUGAGUUUAGAGUUUGUUUUUUUUUUUACAGAGGCAUGUGGUCGCACUUUGUGCUCAGGCCUGCACGAAAAAAAAAAGCGCAAACUGCUUCGCUGAAUAGUUCGGAGCGGGAUGACUGUUGUAACGGGGACAAGGUGAGAGGAUCUGAAGGAUCAAGGCUCGGCUGUAUUUGACUGUUCGGCAGCUUUUCACCUCUUUAAGGUGAGUGGCUCCUUUUGAUUUGGCCUCUCCCUCUCUCUCUCUUUUUUGGAAGGUGGUGUGAACACUGUCGUAUGUACAUAAUGUUCUUUUGUCAAUGAGGAAUUUU